UACGUAGGGCCCGAGCGUUAUCCGGAAUCAUUGGGCGUAAAGAGCGUGUAGGUGUUCUGACAAGUCGGUCGUUAAAUCCCACAGCUCAACUGUGGGGCUGCGAGCGAAACUGUCAGAAUUGAGUAUUGCAGGGGCAAGUAGAAUUCCUGGAGUAGGGGUGAAAUCCGUUGAUACCAGGAGGAAUACCAAUGGCGAAGGCAGCUUGCUGGGCAAUUACUGACACUGAGUACGCGAAAGCGUGGGGAGCAAACGGG
rnacentral:rRNA from 1 species